AGCUUACUGGGAUACAACUGACGCUGAGGCACGAAAGCGUGGGGAUCAAACAGGAUUAGAUACCCUGGUAGUCCACGCAGUAAACGAUGAAUACUAACUGUAUGCGAUAUACUGUAUGCGGUACAGCGAAAGCGUUAAGUAUUCCACCUGGGGAGUACGUUCGCAAGAAUGAAACUCAAAGGAAUUGACGGGGGCCCGCACAAGCGGAGGAACAUGUGGUUUAAUUCGAUGAUACGCGAGGAACCUUACCCGGGCUUGAAAUGCAGACGACCGACUUGGAAACAGGUCUUCCAGCAAUGGCGUCUGUGUAGGUGCUGCAUGGUUGUCGUCAGCUCGUGCCGUGAGGUGUCGGCUUAAGUGCCAUAACGAGCGCAACCCUUAUCAUUAGUUACUAACAGGUUAAGCUGAGGACUCUAAUGAGACUGCCACCGUAAGGUGUGAGGAAGGUGGGGAUGACGUCAAAUCAGCACGGCCUUUAUAUCCAGGGCUACACACGUGUUACAAUGGUCGGUACAGAGGGCAGCCACUUGGUGACAAGGAGCUAAUCCCAAAAGCCGGUCUCAGUUCGGAUCGAAGUCUGCAACUCGACUUCGUGAAGGUGGAUUCGCUAGUAAUCGCGCAUCAGCCAUGGCGCGGUGAAUACGUUCCCGGGCCUUGUACACACCGCCCGUCAAGCCAUGGGAGUUUGGGGCGCCUGAAGUCUGUAACCGCAAGGAGCGGCCUAGGGCGAAACAGAUGACUGGGGCUAAGUCGUAACAAGGUAACC
rnacentral:rRNA from 1 species